UUAUGAGCCUAUAAGGUGUCCCACUGCUGGGCAAAGGCCUCCCCCCUAGACUUCCAAUCCUCCCAAUUAAGUGCAGCAUCUGUCCAGUUGCUGAGAAAUGUGUCCAGGUCGUCUCGCCAUCUCCUCUUAGGCCGACCUUCCCGGCGUUUACAUUGUGUCACCCACUCCGUGGCUAGUUUAGCCCACCUCUGUGGGUGCAUACGUCAUACAUGGCCUGCCCAGUCCCACUUUAGCCUGGCGGUUUUUACCCCAACGUCGACGAUGCCUGUUUUGGUGCGCAACGUAGUGUUUCGGAUCCGGUCAAUCCUUUUCACCCCAAGCAUGUUGCGCUCCAUAGCUCUUUGGCAAACCUUCAGUUUGGUCUUUUGUAACUCGGUAAGAGACCACGUUUGAGCACCGUAAGUGAGGAUUGGCAAUAUACACAUGUCGACGAGUCUACGCUUAAGAGCUAAUGGAAGGUCUCCCUUCAGUAGCUCCUUAAGAGACCAAUAGCUCUUCCAAGCGUUUUGGAUCUGUCUUUCGACCUCUUUGUCCUGUCUUUGGUUGAAAGCGACUAUUUGCCCUAAGUACGUAUACUCGUCGACAUAGUGUAGGAUCUGCCCGUCUACCUCAAUGUCACGUUUGGUGCUGUUGGUCAUAAGCUGAGUCUUAGACCGGUUUAUUUUUAAGCCAACUUGAAGGCUUGCCGAGCUAAGAUCUUGUAGCAUCUUUUCAAGGUCCGCAGCUGAAUAGGCCAAGAGAACGAUGUCGUCAGCAAAGCGAAGAUUUGUUAAUCUUCUCCCACCAAUACCCUUGGAUUCCCAUGACGCCGCCAGGCCUUGAAAUAUCUGCUGAAUGGUGCUGGUGAAAAAUUUGGGAGAUAGCGGGUCUCCCUGUUUGACCCCCUUUUCUAUUUUGAACAACUAACCGGAUGCCUGCAAUUUUAUGUUCGCGGUACUACUUCUAUAUAUGGCCUUGAUUAGGUCGAUAUAUGUUGGCUCUAUAUUUUGGUCUUGGAGUGCGGAAAAUAUGGAGGAAUGUGUCAAACUGUCGAAUGCUUUUUCAUAAUCUACAAAACCUAUGUAAAGCUGCAUGUUAAAUUCGUUAUCUUUUUCUAUUAUUUGGUUGAUUGUUUGGAGGUGAUCGGUGGUUGAAAAGCUGGGCCUGAAUCCUGCUUGCUCCGGAGGUUGGUGUUUAUCUAAUUGACCCGCAAUGCGACACUCUAUAAGUUUAAUAAAGACUUUGUAUAUAUGGGACACUAGGCUAAUGGGACGAUAAUUUCCAAUAUUUUUCUUGUCUCCUUUUUUAUAAAGCAGAAUUAUAUUCGAGUGUGGCAUGUCUUUU